GGCGUGGCUUCCGGAGCUAACGCGUUAAAUCGACCGCCUGGGGAGUACGGCCGCAAGGUUAAAACUCAAAUGAAUUGACGGGGGCCCGCACAAGCGGUGGAGCAUGUGGUUUAAUUCGAUGCAACGCGAAGAACCUUACCUGGUCUUGACAUCCACAGAACUUUCCAGAGAUGGAUUGGUGCCUUCGGGAACUGUGAGACAGGUGCUGCAUGGCUGUCGUCAGCUCGUGUUGUGAAAUGUUGGGUUAAGUCCCGCAACGAGCGCAACCCUUAUCCUUUGUUGCCAGCGGUCCGGCCGGGAACUCAAAGGAGACUGCCAGUGAUAAACUGGAGGAAGGUGGGGAUGACGUCAAGUCAUCAUGGCCCUUACGACCAGGGCUACACACGUGCUACAAUGGCGCAUACAAAGAGAAGCGACCUCGCGAGAGCAAGCGGACCUCAUAAAGUGCGUCGUAGUCCGGAUUGGAGUCUGCAACUCGACUCCAUGAAGUCGGAAUCGCUAGUAAUCGUAGAUCAGAAUGCUACGGUGAAUACGUUCCCGGGCCUUGUACACACCGCCCGUCACACCAUGGGAGUGGGUUGCAAAAGAAGUAGGUAGCUUAACCUUCGGGAGGGCGCUUACCACUUUGUGAUUCAUGACUGGGG
rnacentral:rRNA from 1 species